rnacentral:rRNA from 1 species
GACGAACGCUGGCGGCGUGCUUAACACAUGCAAGUCGAACGGAAAGGCCCUGCUUUUGUGGGGUGCUCGAGUGGCGAACGGGUGAGUAACACGUGAGUAACCUGCCCUUGACUUUGGGAUAACUUCAGGAAACUGGGGCUAAUACCGGAUAGGAGCUCCUGCUGCAUGGUGGGGGUUGGAAAGUUUCGGCGGUUGGGGAUGGACUCGCGGCUUAUCAGCUUGUUGGUGGGGUAGUGGCUUACCAAGGCUUUGACGGGUAGGCGGCCUGAGUGGGUGACCGGACACACUGGGAUUGAGAUACGGCCAGAACCCCUACGGGAGGCAGCAGUGGAGGAUAUUGCACCAUGGGCAGAAGCCAGAUGAAGCAACGCCGCGUGCGGGAUGACGGCCGUCGGGUUGUAAACCGGGUUCGCAUGUGACGAAGCGUGGGUGACGGUAAUGGGUAAAGAAGCACCGGCUAACUACGUG